rnacentral:rRNA from 2 species
GGGUUGUGAGGUUAAGCGACUAAGCGUACACGGUGGAUGCCCUGGCAGUCAGAGGCGAUGAAGGACGUGCUAAUCUGCGAUAAGCGUCGGUAAGGUGAUAUGAACCGUUAUAACCGGCGAUUUCCGAAUGGGGAAACCCAGUGUGAUUCGUCACACUAUCAUUAACUGAAUCCAUAGGUUAAUGAGGCGAACCGGGGGAACUGAAACAUCUAAGUACCCCGAGGAAAAGAAAUCAACCGAGAUUCCCCCAGUAGCGGCGAGCGAACGGGGAGCAGCCCAGAGCCUGAAUCAGUGUGUGUGUUAGUGGAAGCGUCUGGAAAGGCGCGCGAUACAGGGUGACAGCCCCGUACACAAAAAUGCACAUACUGUGAGCUCGAUGAGUAGGGCGGGACACGUGGUAUCCUGUCUGAAUAUGGGGGGACCAUCCUCCAAGGCUAAAUACUCCUGACUGACCGAUAGUGAACCAGUACCGUGAGGGAAAGGCGAAAAGAACCCCGGCGAGGGGAGUGAAAAAGAACCUGAAACCGUGUACGUACAAGCAGUGGGAGCCUCUUUUAUGGGGUGACUGCGUACCUUUUGUAUAAUGGGUCAGCGACUUAUAUUCUGUAGCAAGGUUAACCGAAUAGGGGAGCCGAAGGGAAACCGAGUCUUAACCGGGCGUUAAGUUGCAGGGUAUAGACCCGAAACCCGGUGAUCUAGCCAUGGGCAGGUUGAAGGUUGGGUAACACUAACUGGAGGACCGAACCGACUAAUGUUGAAAAAUUAGCGGAUGACUUGUGGCUGGGGGUGAAAGGCCAAUCAAACCGGGAGAUAGCUGGUUCUCCCCGAAAGCUAUUUAGGUAGCGCCUCGUGAAUUCAUCUCCGGGGGUAGAGCACUGUUUCGGCAAGGGGGUCAUCCCGACUUACCAACCCGAUGCAAACUGCGAAUACCGGAGAAUGUUAUCACGGGAGACACACGGCGGGUGCUAACGUCCGUCGUGAAGAGGGAAACAACCCAGACCGCCAGCUAAGGUCCCAAAGUCAUGGUUAAGUGGGAAACGAUGUGGGAAGGCCCAGACAGCCAGGAUGUUGGCUUAGAAGCAGCCAUCAUUUAAAGAAAGCGUAAUAGCUCACUGGUCGAGUCGGCCUGCGCGGAAGAUGUAACGGGGCUAAACCAUGCACCGAAGCUGCGGCAGCGACACUGUGUGUUGUUGGGUAGGGGAGCGUUCUGUAAGCCUGUGAAGGUGUGCUGUGAGGCAUGCUGGAGGUAUCAGAAGUGCGAAUGCUGACAUAAGUAACGAUAAAGCGGGUGAAAAGCCCGCUCGCCGGAAGACCAAGGGUUCCUGUCCAACGUUAAUCGGGGCAGGGUGAGUCGACCCCUAAGGCGAGGCCGAAAGGCGUAGUCGAUGGGAAACAGGUUAAUAUUCCUGUACUUGGUGUUACUGCGAAGGGGGGACGGAGAAGGCUAUGUUGGCCGGGCGACGGUUGUCCCGGUUUAAGCGUGUAGGCUGGUUUUCCAGGCAAAUCCGGAAAAUCAAGGCUGAGGCGUGAUGACGAGGCACUACGGUGCUGAAGCAACAAAUGCCCUGCUUCCAGGAAAAGCCUCUAAGCAUCAGGUAACAUCAAAUCGUACCCCAAACCGACACAGGUGGUCAGGUAGAGAAUACCAAGGCGCUUGAGAGAACUCGGGUGAAGGAACUAGGCAAAAUGGUGCCGUAACUUCGGGAGAAGGCACGCUGAUAUGUAGGUGAAGUCCCUCGCGGAUGGAGCUGAAAUCAGUCGAAGAUACCAGCUGGCUGCAACUGUUUAUUAAAAACACAGCACUGUGCAAACACGAAAGUGGACGUAUACGGUGUGACGCCUGCCCGGUGCCGGAAGGUUAAUUGAUGGGGUCAGCGCAAGCGAAGCUCUUGAUCGAAGCCCCGGUAAACGGCGGCCGUAACUAUAACGGUCCUAAGGUAGCGAAAUUCCUUGUCGGGUAAGUUCCGACCUGCACGAAUGGCGUAAUGAUGGCCAGGCUGUCUCCACCCGAGACUCAGUGAAAUUGAACUCGCUGUGAAGAUGCAGUGUACCCGCGGCAAGACGGAAAGACCCCGUGAACCUUUACUAUAGCUUGACACUGAACAUUGAGCCUUGAUGUGUAGGAUAGGUGGGAGGCUUUGAAGUGUGGACGCCAGUCUGCAUGGAGCCGACCUUGAAAUACCACCCUUUAAUGUUUGAUGUUCUAACGUGGACCCGUGAUCCGGGUUGCGGACAGUGUCUGGUGGGUAGUUUGACUGGGGCGGUCUCCUCCUAAAGAGUAACGGAGGAGCACGAAGGUUGGCUAAUCCUGGUCGGACAUCAGGAGGUUAGUGCAAUGGCAUAAGCCAGCUUGACUGCGAGCGUGACGGCGCGAGCAGGUGCGAAAGCAGGUCAUAGUGAUCCGGUGGUUCUGAAUGGAAGGGCCAUCGCUCAACGGAUAAAAGGUACUCCGGGGAUAACAGGCUGAUACCGCCCAAGAGUUCAUAUCGACGGCGGUGUUUGGCACCUCGAUGUCGGCUCAUCACAUCCUGGGGCUGAAGUAGGUCCCAAGGGUAUGGCUGUUCGCCAUUUAAAGUGGUACGCGAGCUGGGUUUAGAACGUCGUGAGACAGUUCGGUCCCUAUCUGCCGUGGGCGCUGGAGAACUGAGGGGGGCUGCUCCUAGUACGAGAGGACCGGAGUGGACGCAUCACUGGUGUUCGGGUUGUCAUGCCAAUGGCACUGCCCGGUAGCUAAAUGCGGAAGAGAUAAGUGCUGAAAGCAUCUAAGCACGAAACUUGCCCCGAGAUGAGUUCUCCCUGACCCUUUAAGGGUCCUGAAGGAACGUUGAAGACGACGACGUUGAUAGGCCGGGUGUGUAAGCGCAGCGAUGCGUUGAGCUAACCGGUACUAAUGAACCGUGAGGCUUAACCUUACAACGCCGAAGGUGUUU